rnacentral:rRNA from 1 species
UGAGGAAUAUUGGUCAAUGGGGCGGCGAGCCUGAACCAGCCAAGUCGCGUGAGGGAUGACGGCCCUACGGGUUGUAAACCUCUUUUGUCGGGGAGCAAUGCCCAGCUCGCGAGCUGGGAAGGAGAGUACCCGGAAGAAAAAGCAUCGGCUAACUCCGUGCC